GGAGGAAAAGAAACCAACAGGGAUUGCCCCAGUAACGGCGAGUGAAGCGGCAACAGCUCAAAUUUGAAAUCUGGCCCUAGGCCCGAGUUGUAAUUUGCAGAGGAUGUUUCUGGCGACGCGCCUUCCGAGUUCCCUGGAACGGGACGCCAUAGAGGGUGAGAGCCCCGUACGGUUGGAUGCCUAGCCUCUGUGAAACUCCUUCGACGAGUCGAGUAGUUUGGGAAUGCUGCUCUAAAUGGGAGGUAUACGUCUUCUAAAGCUAAAUACCGGCCAGAGACCGAUAGCGCACAAGUAGAGUGAUCGAAAGAUGAAAAGCACUUUGAAAAGAGGGUUAAAUAGUACGUGAAAUUGUUGAAAGGGAAGCACUUAUGACCAGACUUGGGCAGGUUGAUCAUCCUCCGUUCUCGGUGGUGCACUCUGCCUGUCCAGGCCAGCAUCAGUUCGCUUCGGGGGAUAAAGGUUUCGGGAAUGUGGCUCCCUCGGGAGUGUUAUAGCCCGUUGCGUAAUACCCUGGGGCGGACUGAGGUUCGCGCUCUGCAAGGAUGCUGGCGUAAUGGUCAUCAGUGACCCGUCUUGAAACACGGACCAAGGAGUCGUCUUCGUAUGCGAGUGUUCGGGUGUCAAACCCCUACGCGUAAUGAAAGUGAACGUAGGUGAGAGCUUCGGCGCAUCACCGACCGAUCCUGAUGUUCUCGGAUGGAUUUGAGUAAGAGCAUACGGGGCCGGACCCGAAAGAAGGUGAACUAUGCCUGUAUAGGGUGAAGCCAGAGGAAACUCUGGUGGAGGCUCGCAGCGGUUCUG
rnacentral:rRNA from 1 species